rnacentral:lncRNA from 1 species
AGUAUUUCAAAACUUUUUCCGGGUAGGAAACGUUUCAAAUGAUAGAUCUGGAUUUAUGUUUAAAACUAUGAAUACCGUCGUGUUAUGAAUGGUGAAUGUAUGGACGUCUGUAUGUGCGGUUGAGGUUGUAUGUUCAUAUGGUUGUGGUUGUAUUCUGGUUGUACUCUGGUUGUAUAAUUGUACUUGUGCGACGCCGUGCAAAUACAGGGGAGACUCUGUCCGUGUGAACAGUGGAUUCCCUGUAUUUGUGGCGGAUCUGACAUACUCUGGGG